GACGAGCGCUGGCGGCGUGCUUAAUACAUGCAAGUCAACUUGACUUUAGAUAGCAAUAUCGAAAAGUAGGGUGCGCACGGGUGCGUAACGCGUAGGUAAUCUGCCCUGAGGUCUGACAUAACCCGUCGAAAGGCGGGCUAACAUCAGAUGAUAUAUAAUCACGACAUCGUGGAAAUAUCAAAUCUUCGGAGCCUUGGGAUGAGCCUGCGUCUGAUUUAGGUAGUUGGCGGAGUAAUAGCCCACCAAGCCUACGAUCAGUAGCUGGUCUGAGAGGAUGAUCAGCCACACUGGAACUGAGACACGGUCCAGACUCCUACGGGAGCAGCA
rnacentral:rRNA from 1 species